rnacentral:lncRNA from 1 species
CAAACAGCUACCCAAAGCAUUUCAGGUGAUGAGUAGCUGGUUUGGAUGAUGAUGAUGAUAAUCACAUGAGUACACCUCCACCACCAACUGUACCUACAGAUCUCAGUGCGCCCUAGUACACACAAGCUAUAACCCAAGGAUAACUACUCUGAGCCUGUGCUUGCAUUAUGUUUAGACCUGAGGAACCCCUUCCAUCCUGGCCUGAGCUUUUGUCCCCACUGCCUCGGAGGGGAUGAACACUGCACACGAUAUACAGCACGCAGCAUGAACGCACAUGCAGGCACCAUGGCUGAUGUGAAAGAAGACGUCCUGCGUGAGUCUUACUUAUUUUUAGAGUAAAAAGACCCUGCCUCAGCCAUGCAGGACUCCAUGACUAACAUCCCUGGUGCCAGCCUGCCAGGUUUUUCCAAGCCUCCCUGCUGGACCUGUCAGCGCAACUGCUCUAAGAUUCAGGCAGGCAAGUCCUUGCCUUUAAGACCAGGCUAGACUUUAAAUAGGCAACUGCAGCUUUAGUUUGUAGUAGUUACUGCUUCUGUUCUCUGUGUGGAUCUUUAUACCAUCUGCAAUAACAUCUAGAAACUGCUGAACCUAGGAGAGCUGCUAAUGAAUAUGCUCUCACCAGUUAGAAGAAAAAAAAAAAAGGAAUUUAUUUUAAAAUGAAAACGCCGUGUUUAAGUUUUACAUUUCAAAUAUUUUAAGUGAUUUUUCUUCUUCUUCUUUCAUUCCUGCAGCGCUGCCUGAAAGGCCAGUCUUGCCUGGCUAUUGUCUGCUUCCCUGCAUGGUUCCCUGUGCUCUGGCAGUCAGUCCUCAAAUCGCCACAGCUUUGAAGCGGAUCCGUCUUCCAAAGAGAGACCUUUUCUUCCGCCUCCCCUCAUCAUCAGUCGCACAUGAGCCCUGUGGGGCUUUUGAACUGUGCCGCUGCUACCGGCGAUCAUUUCCACGCACCGCCUUUGUCUUGUUUGGGGUUGCCUUGUUUGUUUGUUUUUGUUUUUGUUUUUAUUUUUUUACGACUCCGUUCACAACUUCCAGAGCCAAGGGCACCCCCAGGGCUCCCGAGGGCCGGCCUGGGCCGCGGUUGCCGCGCCGGCCGCGAGAUGGCGCCGCCGCCCUUCGGCCGCCUGAGGGCCCGGGGGCCGGGGGGCGUCGUCGACAACGUGGAACGUGUGAAAGUUCUCCUAGGAAAGGGUGUUCUCUGCGCACUUUCAAGCCUAAUAAACAAGAACAACAACAACAACAACAACAACAACAAAAGGUAUUUAAUCUUUGAAACAGAGAGCUGCUGGGAAGUAAGCUCUGAGUGAUGUCCGGGUGUUAGAAAGACAAAUUACUUGUUGGUGAAAUUGCCUUCUUAAAGUUUAGGGCCUCGACAUGUUUCAGUGAUCUCAGACAGAGGGGAGGUUAACUGAGCCUGGGGAGAAGGGUGUACCACUGACAGUGGGCACAAAGAAUGCAAAGUGUACAGGCCACCAGGACAUUUGGCAGAACUUCCCAGGCAAAGAAGAAAACUAAUAAAGACACCUCAGCAACUUUGCUGAAUCA